rnacentral:rRNA from 1 species
GUGCACCAGGCGCGAAAACUCCGCAAUGCUCGAAAGAGUGACGGGGGAUUCCAAGUGCCUACGCUUAGCGUAGGCUGUUCAGAUGCCUAAAAAGCAUCUGGAGUAAGGGCUGGGUAAGACGGGUGCCAUCUGCAGUGGUAAUGAAAAACUUGCUACUGCAAGGCAUAAGCCGCCGCGGUAAUACCCGCAGCCCGAGUGGUAGUCGCUUUUAUUGGGCCUAAAGCGUCCGUAGCCGGUCUGGUAAAUGCCUGGGGUAAAUCGUGGGGCCUAACCUCACGAAUUCCGGGUAGACUGCCAGACUUGGGACCGGUUGAGGGAGAGGGUACUCCAGGGGUAGGGGUGAAAUCCUGUAAUCCUUGGAGGACCACCGGUGGCGAAAGCGCUCUCCUAGGACAGGUCCGACGGUGAGGGACGAAAGCCAGGGGAGCAAACCGGAUUAGAUACCCGGGUAGU